rnacentral:rRNA from 1 species
GUAGUCCACGCCGUAAACGAUGAGUACUAAGGUUCGUUCAUGGGGGUUUCCGCCCCUUAGUGCUGCAGCUAACGCAUUAAGCAGCUCCGCCUGGGGAGUACGACCGUCAAGGUUAGAAACUCAAAUGGAAUUGGACGGGGACCCGCACAAGCGGUGGAGCAUGUGGUUUAAUUCGAAGCAACGCGAAGAACCUUACCAAAUCUUGACAUCCUCUGACCCCUCUAGAGAUAGAGUUUUUCCCCUUCGGGGGGACAGAGUGACAGGUGGUGCAUGGUUGUCGUCAGCUCGUGUCGUGAGAUGUUGGGUUAAGUCCCCGCAACGAGCGCAACCCUUAAGCUUAGUUGCCAUCAUUAAGUUGGGCACUCUAAGUUGACUGCCGGUGACAAACCGGAGGAAGGUGGGGGAUGACGUCAAAUCAUCAUGCCCCUUAUGAUUUGGGCUACACACGUGCUACAAUGGACAAUACAAAGGGCAGCGAAACCGCGAGGUCAAGCAAAUCCCAUAAAGUUGUUCUCAGUUCGGAUUGUAGUCUGCAACUCGACUAUAUGAAGCUGGAAUCGCUAGUAAUCGUAGAUCAGCAUGCUACGGUGAAUACGUUCCCGGGUCUUGUACACACCGCCCGUCACACCACGAGAGUUUGUAACACCCGAAGCCGGUGGAGUAACCAUUGGAGCUAGCCGUCGAAGGUGGGACAAAUGAUUGGGGUGAAGUCGUAACAAGGUAGCCGUAUCGGAAGG